rnacentral:rRNA from 1 species
CACGCUGGCGGCGUGCCUAACACAUGCAAGUCGAACGCGAAAGUGGAGCAAUCCAUGAGUAGAGUGGCAAACGGGUGAGUAACGCGUGGGUGACCUGCCUUCGAGUGGGGGAUAACGUUCCGAAAGGGACGCUAAUACCGCAUGACAUCCUGCCUUUGAAGAGGCGGAGAUCAAAGCUGGGGAUCGCAAGACCUAGCACUCGAUGAGGGGCCCGCGUCUGAUUAGCUAGUUGGUGGGGUAACGGCUCACCAAGGCAACGAUCAGUAUCCGGCCUGAGAGGGCGGACGGACACACUGGGACUGAGACACGGCCCAGACUCCUACGGGAGGCAGCAGUGGGGAAUUGUUCGCAAUGGGCGCAAGCCUGACGACGCAACGCCGCGUGGAGGAUGAAGAUCUUCGGGUCGUAAACUCCUUUCGAUCGAGACGAACAGUCUCCGGGUGAACAAUCCGGAGGUUUGACGGUACCGAGAGAAGAAGCCCCGGCUAACUCCGUGCCAGCAGCCGCGGUAAUACGGGGGGGGCAAGCGUUGUUCGGAAUUACUGGGCGUAAAGG